rnacentral:rRNA from 1 species
AACGAACGCUGGCGGCAUGCCUAACACAUGCAAGUCGAACGAGACCUUCGGGUCUUUUGGCGCACGGGUUCGUCACGCGUGGGAACCUGCACUUAGGUUCGGAAUAACUCCCCGAAAGGGGUGCUAAUACCGGAUAAUGUCUUAGGACCAAGGAUUUAUUGCGUUUGGAUGUGCCCGCGUUGGAUUAGCUAGUUGGUAGGGUAAUAGCCUACCACGGCGACGAUCCAUAGCUGGUCUGAGAGGAUGAUCAGCCACACUGGGACUGAGACACGGCCCAGACUCCUACGGGAGGCAGCAGAGGGGAAUAUUGGACCAUGGGCGAAAGCAUGAUGCAGCAAGGCCGGGUGAGUGAUGAAGGCAGUAGGGUUGUAAAGCUCAUUUACCCGUGAUGAUAAUGACAGUACCGGGAGAAUAAGCCCCGGCUAACUACGUG